rnacentral:rRNA from 1 species
AUUGAACGCUGGCGGCAUGCCUUACACAUGCAAGUCGAACGGCAGCACGGGUGCUUGCACCUGGUGGCGAGUGGCGAACGGGUGAGUAAUACAUCGGAACGUACCUUAUCGUGGGGGAUAACGCAGCGAAAGCUGUGCUAAUACCGCAUACGCCCUGAGGGGGAAAGCGGGGGAUCGCAAGACCUCGCGCGAUUAGAGCGGCCGAUGCCUGAUUAGCUUGUUGGUGGGGUAAAAGCCCACCAAGGCGACGAUCAGUAGCUGGUCUGCGAGGACGAUCAGCCACACUGGGACUGAGACACGGCCCAGACUCCUACGGGAGGCAGCAGUGGGGAAUUUUGGACAAAGGGGGCAACCCUGAUCCAGCAAUGCCGCGUGAGUGAAGAAGGCCUUCGGGUUGUAAAGCUCUUUUGUCAGGGAAGAAACACCGGCUCUAACACAGUCUGGGAAUGACGGUACCUGAAGAAUAAGCACCGGCUAACUACGUGCCAGCCGCCGCCGUAA